rnacentral:rRNA from 2 species
AUGAAGCUGGCGGCAGGCCUGUACAUGCAGUCGAGCGGAUGAAGGGAGCUUGCUCCUGGAUUCAGCGGCGGACGGGUGAGUAAUGCCUAGGAAUCUGCCUGGUAGUGGGGGAUAACGUCCGGAAACGGGCGCUAAUACCGCAUACGUCCUGAGGGAGAAAGUGGGGGAUCUUCGGACCUCACGCUAUCAGAUGAGCCUAGGUCGGAUUAGCUAGUUGGUGGGGUAAAGGCCUACCAAGGCGACGAUCCGUAACUGGUCUGAGAGGAUGAUCAGUCACACUGGAACUGAGACACGGUCCAGACUCCUACGGGAGGCAGCAGUGGGGAAUAUUGGACAAUGGGCGAAAGCCUGAUCCAGCCAUGCCGCGUGUGUGAAGAAGGUCUUCGGAUUGUAAAGCACUUUAAGUUGGGAGGAAGGGCAGUAAGUUAAUACCUUGCUGUUUUGACGUUACCAACAGAAUAAGCACCGGCUAACUUCGUGCCAGCAGCCGCGGUAAUACGAAGGGUGCAAGCGUUAAUCGGAAUUACUGGGCGUAAAGCGCGCGUAGUGGUUCAGCAAGUUGGAUGUGAAAUCCCCGGGCUCAACCUGGGAACUGCAUCCAAAACUACUGAGCUAGAGUACGGUAGAGGGUGGUGGAAUUUCCUGUGUAGCGGUGAAAUGCGUAGAUAUAGAAGGAACACCAGUGGCGAAGCGACCACCUGGACUGAUACUGACACUGAAGUGCGAAAGCGUGGGGAGCAACAGGAUUAGAUACCCUGGUAGUCCCCGCCGU